rnacentral:lncRNA from 1 species
AGCCCUUUCUUUCAUUAUUCUGAUUAGAAACAGCCCCAGAGGUGACGUGAUUUGCCCAAAGUCGUGCAACUUCCUGGAACAAGAAGCCAAUCGGAAGACGCCCAUGCUGCUGUUCUUUCCGUGUUAUCAGGUUACCCCAGAGCCUUAGGAUCUGCUUUUGAAACGCAAAGGCGAGGUCGCCCAGGGAGAGCCACGGGAGGGAAACUUACUCGGAUUUGCUAACUGCUUUUGGCAGGGGAUGGGGCCGGAGAAGGGGGGAGGGUGUAACCUGCUUCCCCCCCAAAAACAUAAUGUGAACAGCUUUUAAAUUGCUUUAUGAGAUCAUGAAUUCUAGUGAGUGCAUCUUCCGAGGAGGCUGGGAACUUACCUGUUUUGUUUACCCAGCCAAGGGCCUAAUGCAGAGCAGGGCCUUAAUAAAAAUGUACCGCAUGGAUGGCCGCGGGGCUGGCCGCAGCCCACUCCACCAUAGAGCUGUAGGAGGUUUGGGGGAGCCAAGCCCCACCUGGGAGGCACGGGCAGCAAGAAAAGGUAGAAAUGGGAAAACGAUUUUAACUUCGAGUCCUGGAGAAGGGGGAAGGGUGGGUGGAGAAGUUCAAAGGAUGCUUCCAGAAGAAGGGAGGAGAUGCAAACACCAACCACCCUGAACCAGACCAAGCCUCACCACCAGAGCUCUGCCUAUGACCUCUGCCUUAUUUUCAAUGCUAGGAUCUCUCCAGGAGGAGCUUAGGCCUCGUUACCGUAACCUGCAGUGUAUGUGCAAGCAUGUUUUCUAACUGAGCCUGCGCAAGUGAAUACCCACCUCUCCCUUUUGAAUAUUCAUUCCCAUCUGAAAUAAAUGUCCCUGCUUCCCUUUGUUCGGGGAUGUCAUGACUAUGGAGAUGAUUCCUCAUGGUCUCCUAUUCGCUGCAAAUGUACUUUACCUUAUGAGACAACUACUUCUGGUGGAGAGUCUGAUCCAACUCGCCAGGAGGGAACCCACUUUGUCUCGGUAACAGUUCUACCAAGUUAUUCAAGCCAGG